CCAAGAACUGCGUUUAGGGACCAGAUCGCUCACAGCCUGGUUGGCGAAGGGGAUCCCAUCCCACGAGGUAUGCGCCUGGCACAAGACGGUGGCCCAGACUGCGGCGACAGUCUGAAUAGUUGACUCUUACUGUCUUGCGUUCAACACUGCAUUCGGAUUGAUAUGUUUGGCAGUCGUGUGAAUCCUGAGCCGGACCCUUGGAACGCAGGAUGAUCCAGCUGACACAAUAAAGGAAGGAAAAAAAAAUCAACCCAGCAAGAUCAAAAGGAAAAAGAAAGAGAUCUGAACACUUCUGACCAAAACGCAGCUUCGUCGGUGUCUUCAGUGAACUAGAGAAAAUAUCACACAUCUGUGCAACACGAAUAGGGCUCCGAGAGUAGAAGUCACAGCAAGGAAGGGCUGUGGGAUCAAAACUAGAGGAGAAACCUCAGGACAAGGCUUAGGAGUCAAAGAAAUCCCCUGGAAAAUAGUUGAGGAGACGGAGGAACAGACACUGCGAGGGAAGGGCCCCAGGGUCCGCGUAGGAGUCUCCUGUGUGACUAGGAGUGGCAGAAACUGCUGCUGGGGACAGCCCCUCCUGCACCGCGGGGACCCUGGCUGGUACACUUGGGAAGGUUCCUGACGGGGUGGCGGGGAGCUGCCCGCAGGGCUCUCGUGUCCUGCUCUGCCCGGUGCCACCGGGACUGGGGGGGCGAGUUGGCCAUGUUCCAGAGCUGCCCCUGGGUCUCCCGGCUUGGCCCCCUCCACAGCACAAGUCCUCCCGAAGCUGGCCCUCUGGGGCCUCAUUUUCUGCUUUGUUCUGUUUGUCCUCCCCGCCUCCAGAGGCCAAGAAGUGAGAACGCGGUCAAUGGAGGGAAGCAGGAGAAGGGCAGAAAGAUACCCCUCAAAGAACUCGCAGGCUCUGAGCAGCGGCCGGGAUGCUGGGAACCCGGGGGAAGGUUCCAAGUUCAGAGGGAAACAGUCUUCAGGCCAGAAUUCCUCUCCACUGCUGCUCAAGGACCAGAGUCACCAAGGCGCCCUCCUCCACCUAAGGCCUGCUUCCCCCCACCUCCCCACGAAGCCACUGGAGGACAAACCCCUGAGGAAGGAGAGGUCGAGAAGGAGGCAAGGAGGCAGGGCAGGUACUCAACCAGCAGGGUGGCCUCUGGGCCCAAGGUGGUGGCGGAAAGUCCCUGAGAGGAGGCCUCUGGAAAGGAGGUGAGGGCAGAGGAGGGAACAGGAGGGAUGUGGGGCGUCUCAGAGGCGUGGGGAACAGUGGUGGGGUGUGGCAAGGGCCCCGUGCACAGAGUGUCCUCUCACGGGGAUUGUUGGCCUUCUAGAGGGAGAAGUGUGUAGUCAAAAGUAUUUACGUGGUACACUGUGCACGUGUGUGUGUGUGUGUGUGUGUGUGUGUGUGUGUUUAACUUUCAGAUUCUAUUUCGGGAUAAUUUACUCAACAUGAAAACGUGUAAAUGUUAUCAUUUUGUUUAAUCAUACGCUGGGAGUGAUGGUGCCUCACAGGGAGUGGGGGUGGGGGGGAAGACAGAUAGGUAGCACCACUCACAAAACGGGGUUCAGGAGUCACCCCCGGGGUCAAUGGCUGUGGGCAGCCCCUCAGUGUGUUGACCUGGGUCCUUCAAUUCUGAUGUUUCCCUGUGUUAUUUCUUUCCUCACUUCCCUUCUCCAUUUAAAGACCUCUAGGAUCGGGGCGCCUGGGUGGCUCAGUUGGUCAAGUGUCUGACUUCGGCUCAGGUCAUGAUCUCAUGGUUCGUGAGUUUGAGCCCCGCGUCGGGCUCUGUGCUGAUAGGCAGAGCCUGCUUGGGACUCUCUCUCUUCCUCUCUGAGAUUUUAUAUAGACUCUCUGAAGGUUUAUUCUGCUCUCUUUUUUGUUUGCUUUAACUCAGAGUUCCCCUUUUUUCCUGUAUUGGUCGAUUUCUUUUGGUCUUUGACUUUUGUGUCAGGCACAUAUUUGGAGCUGGGGCCUCAGGGUGCCGACGAAGGUUCUGUGACGGGUGACCCGGAGGUCGGCUCGUUAGGGAGCCCCGCUGUCACUCUCUGCAGAUGACAGUCCUGUGCCCCAAAUGACCUGGCCUCCCUGCUGGGCAAGGGGACGGAGCCCCCUUCCAAGGACAGCUCCCUCUUACACUUUCCUGGGGCUGUUGUAACAAGUCAGCACAAACUUGGUGACUUAAAACAACAGAAACCUAUUUUCUCACGGUUCUGGAGGCCAGAAGUUUGAGAUAAUGGUGUGCACAGGGCUGGGCUCCGGCCAGAGGCUCCGGUGGGGGGGUCCUUCCUUGCCUCUCGCCUCUUCCAGGGCUCCGGGUAUUCCUUGGUUCGUGGUUACACCAGUCCAUUCUCUGCCUCCAUUUCCUCCUCCUCUCCCCAUGUCUUCCGUCUUCGAUCCUUUGCGAGGGCGCUGUUCAUCGCCACCCACCAGGUCUCAUGUCAUAGUCCUUGACUUAGUCAUAUCUGCAAAGAUCUGUUUCCAAAUAGAGUCACAUUCCGAGGUUCUGGGGCUUAGGAGGUGGACAUAUCUUUUGGGGGGGGUACCACCAUUCAACGCACUAUACUCUCCCAACUCCCUACACAUCUCCUGUUCCAACAGAAAUCCCUACAGAGUGAGUUCUCUGCAGAGUCUUGUGGGAAAAGACCAGAGGAUUCAGCCCCUGUGGGUCUGCAGGGAGCCAUCCUGCUCUGUGUCACUGAACGGAAGGAUAAUAAAGUGUACGAAGGA